UCCCGGGGCACAGCUCAACUCGUGGAUCAAUCAACAUUGGCUCGCUUCCAGCGGUAGGGUGAAGAGUUCGAUUCCUAGUGGGAACUUGCGGCCAAAAAUUUGGUAUGGAGCAAUCACUGUGGAGGAGGGUCUCUUGUGCGCAGAAGUGUACAGUCAAUGGGGGGAACCUGUGAUCCAGUUGAGGCAUAACCCGCGAUUUACCCCCUCCAAG
rnacentral:lncRNA from 1 species